UACGAAGGGUGCAAGCGUUAAUCGGAAUUACUGGGCGUAAAGGGUGCGUAGGCGGUUCGUUAAGUCUGUUGUGAAAUCCCCGGGCUCAACCUGGGAAUUGCAUUUGAGACUGCACGGCUAGAGUGUGUCAGAGGGGGGUAGAAUUCCACGUGUAGCAGUGAAAUGCGUAGAGAUGUGGAGGAAUACCGAUGGCGAAGGCAGCCCCCUGGGAUAACACUGACGCUCAUGCACGAAAGCGUGGGGAGCAAACAGG
rnacentral:rRNA from 1 species